ACUAGUUUCCUGAUUGGUUGAAGGUUCAGGCUCCUGGAACAACCGAGCCGAACUCUUGUUCGAGGUCUGGAAAGAUUCAGUUGCUAUAGCUCACCUCUCCUGUUCUCAAACUUAAAGUUACUCGACAUCUUGAGUGACGAGCAGCAGCAUCUUACAUCUAUAGACUCCGGAGUUUCAUCACGAUUCUACAUAUAGACGCCCUCUAGGGUAACCGCCUCAUCGCAUCUUGGCGAGGGAUCAACUUGUCUGGAUAUCAAAGGAAAACUACGAACACCUACCCAGUGGUGUGUGGAAAG